AGAAGUUUCCCCCCUCCGGUGUUGCCCAGCCCUGGAUUUGAAAACUUUGGCCCAACUUGUGGCGAUAGCUACAACUUUGCUCCGCAGGGGUCAGAGGGACAUUCCUCGCUGCAGCAGUGUUAGACGCCGAAUUGAAGAAAAUCCUGGAGUUGAACAUAUCUUGGGGCGUAAAUAACAGCAAUAUGAAGGAAUUUCAGAGCUCUCCCUUUUGCUUGGGGGGAUUGAAGCCUCUUUUUUUUUUUCCCCCUUUUUUUUCCUUUUUUUUCUUUUUUCCCCUUCCUCCUUUUUCUCCCCCCCUUGCCAGCAUUCCCAAGGCGCUGAGUCUUUGUCUUAGAAGGAAUGGAGUGUCUGAAUGGUGUGAAAGGGACAGAGAGGGUUGCUUCAAAUCGAUUUUACUUGUCCUCUCUGUCUUUUCGGAUCAACGCCCUUCAAUGGACACAUAGGUGCUCUUUCAACCAAAAACUUGUGCAACAUUUUCUGCCUGUAUUGGUGCUAAAUACAAUAAAUGCUGGGCAGAUUUUUUUUC